GGUGGCGAGCGUUGUCCGGAAUUAUUGGGCGUAAAGGGAGCGCAGGCGGGAGAUCAAGUCUAAUCUUAAAAGUGCGGGGCUCAACCCCGGUGAGGGGAUGGAAACUGGUCUUCUUGAGUGCAGGAGAGGAAAGCGGAAUUCCUAGUGUAGCGGUGAAAUGCGUAGAUAUUAGGAGGAACACCAGUGGCGAAGGCGGCUUUCUGGACUGUAACUGACGCUGAGGCUCGAAAGCGUGGGGAGCGAACAGGAUUAGAUACCCUGGUAGUCCACGCCGUAAACGAUGAAUGCUAGGUGUAGGAGGUAUCGACCCCUCCUGUGCCGGAGUUAACGCAAUAAGCAUUCCGCCUGGGGAGUACGGCCGCAAGGCUGAAACUCAAAGGAAUUGACGGGGGCCCGCACAAGCGGUGGAGUAUGUGGUUUAAUUCGACGCAACGCGAAGAACCUUACCAGGGCUUGACAUUGAGUGAAAGAGCUAGAGAUAGUUCCCUCUCUUCGGAGACACGAAAACAGGUGGUGCAUGGCU
rnacentral:rRNA from 1 species